UCUUUUGACCUUUUGACCUCAAAUCAGGUAGGACUACCCGC
rnacentral:rRNA from 1 species